rnacentral:rRNA from 1 species
AUUGAACGCUGGCGGUAUGCUUAAGACAUGCAAGUCGAACGGUAACAGGUUAAGCUGACGAGUGGCGAACGGGUGAGUAAUGCUUUGGAAUCUUCCCAGUAGUGGGGAAUAACCAGUCGAAAGAUUGGCUAAUACCGCAUACGUCCGAGAGGGGAAAGCGGGGACCGUAAGGCCUCGCGCUAUUGGAUGAGCCAAAGUCGGAUUAGCUUGUUGGUGAGGUAAUGGCUCACCAAGGCGACAAUCCGUAGCUGGUCUGAGAGGACGACCAGCCACACCGGAACUGAGACACGGUCCGGACUCCUACGGGAGGCAGCAGUGGGGAAUAUUGGACAAUGGGGGAAACCCUGAUCCAGCGACGCCGCGUGUGUGAAGAAGGCCUGCGGGUUGUAAAGCACUUUUAGUGGGGGACAAAAAGACCAGGGGCUAACACCAUCUGGUCUUGA